rnacentral:rRNA from 1 species
ACGGAGGAUCCGAGCGUUAUCCGGAUUUAUUGGGUUUAAAGGGAGCGUAGGUGGACAGUUAAGUCAGUUGUGAAAGUUUGCGGCUCAACCGUAAAAUUGCAGUUGAUACUGGCUGUCUUGAGUACAGUAGAGGUGGGCGGAAUUCGUGGUGUAGCGGUGAAAUGCUUAGAUAUCACGAAGAACUCCGAUUGCGAAGGCAGCUCACUGGACUGCAACUGACACUGAUGCUCGAAAGUGUGGGUAUCAAACAG